rnacentral:rRNA from 1 species
AUGAACGCUGGCGGCGUGCCUAAUACAUGCCAGUCGCGCGAACAGACGAGGAGCUUGCUCCUCUGACGUUAGCGGCGGACGGGUGAGUAACACGUGGAUAACCUACCUAUAAGACUGGGAUAACUUCGGGAAACCGGAGCUAAUACCGGAUAAUAUAUUGAACCGCAUGGUUCAAUAGUGAAAGGCGGUUUUGCUGUCACUUAUAGAUGGAUCCGCGCCGCAUUAGCUAGUUGGUAAGGUAACGGCUUACCAAGGCAACGAUGCGUAGCCGACCUGAGAGGGUGAUCGGCCACACUGGAACUGAGACACGGUCCAGACUCCUACGGGAGGCAGCAGUAGGGAAUCUUCCGCAAUGGGCGAAAGCCUGACGGAGCAACGCCGCGUGAGUGAUGAAGGUCUUCGGAUCGUAAAACUCUGUUAUUAGGGAAGAACAAAUGUGGAAGUAACUAUGCACGUCUUGACGGUACCUAAUCAGAAAGCCACGGCUAACUACGUG